ACACAGCAAAAACUACUGACAAAUGCGGGUACAGUGUGCGCCCGUACUAUUAGAUGAAACGGGUCAAUAAACGGUAUCCCGUGUUUCAAUAAACGGGCACCGUGUAAUCCCGGAUUGGGACCAAUUAGACGGGCACGCUCAGACGGUACCCGCCAAAGUCCCCGUUUGCUACACGUCUACACCCGUCAACCUACCGUGAUGGACCGUGAUAGCUACCGUAUAAAUCACACAAACGAGCUGAUAGACUGUCGACCGUUCAUGCUAUCAUGCACCAGAAAGAAACAAGACAAGAAACACAAGACAACAGCUAGCUGGACACAAAAUGAGUGACUUAAAGGCUACCUAGUGUUGACUUGUAUUAUUUACCAUCAUUAUGUUCACUUUCAAUGA